AUGGGUUCCUCAAGGAACCACUUUUCAUAUUUAUUUAUCCAGCUUCCACUGCCCCAUUCUUGGAACAGCUCCUGCCUUUGGCCUCAUUUUUUUUGUGUGGCGCAAGUGGUAAAGAACCCGCCUGCCAGUGCGGAAGAGAUAAGAGACACAGGUUCAAUCCCUGGGUCGAGAAAACCCCCUGGACUAGGAAAUGGCAACCCACUUCAGUAUUCUUGCCUGGAGAAUCCCAUAAACAGAGGACCCUGGCAGGCUACAGUCCAUGGGGUCGCAAAGAGCCAGACACGACUGAGCACACACGGGGACCUACGGUUGAUGAGGCAUUGCAGGAAAAACAACCAUCCUGAAGAUCCACUUUGAACAAAUAAAGAAGCUUUUAUGCAAGAUAAAUCCUGACAAAGUUUUCCAGUGAAUUUGAUGAUGUCUCUGGUAAGCCUGGGUGACUUCCCAGCCCUCACUAACAGCACUAUUCAGGUACGGAUUUACCCAGAAUUCAGAGCAAGUCCCUGCCUUCUAGGAGCUUUCAAAGGGUCAGAGCUUAACAUGCAGGGAGCAAAGUUCCCAUAAAACAGUUUAGAUGGAGAAGCAAAGGAAACAC
rnacentral:lncRNA from 1 species